rnacentral:tmRNA from 1 species
GGGGAUGCCAGGCAUCGACAGGAAAUACAAUUUCAGUUUGUGCAGGUGAAGCUUCGGUAACUUCUUAAAAGGCCGAACAAAGAUACAUGCAAAUGUACUCUCUAAGGCUAAGUCGGCGCUUACAGCAAUGUUUGCACAGCCGGCUUACGCUGUAGCGUAAGAACUUCUUACCCUACCAUCGCGGCAAAAACUUCCUGAUAGUUUGCCGUAGGUGAUAUAUCAUCAGGAUCGGAAAUAAAUGCCGCUCGCGUUUAUUUCUUAAACUUCGAGCUCGGCGUUGUGCGAUUUUGUUUGCUCUUAACGCAGGGCGCUUAAACUACAGAGGAAACUAAACUUGUAGAUUCAUCUGAAAUUAUUUUCUGCACGGCGGUUCGACUCCGCCCAUCUCCAUAG